AAAUUCUUGGAUUUAUUGAAGACUAACUACUGCGAAAGCAUUUGCCAAGGAUGUUUUCAUUAAUCAGGAACGAAAGUUAGGGGAUCGAAGACGAUCAGAUACCGUCGUAGUCUUAACCAUAAACUAUGCCGACUAGGGAUCGGACGGUGUUAUUUUUUGACCCGUUCGGCACCUUACGAGAAAUCAAAGUGCUUGGGCUCCAGGGGGAGUAUGGUCGCAAGGCUGAAACUUAAAGAAAUUGACGGAAGGGCACCACCAGGGGUGGAGCCUGCGGCUUAAUUUGACUCAACACGGGGAAACUCACCAGGUCCAGACACAAUGAGGAUUGACAGAUUGAGAGCUCUUUCUUGAUUUUGUGGGUGGUGGUGCAUGGCCGUUCUUAGUUGGUGGAGUGAUUUGUCUGCUUAAUUGCGAUAACGAACGAGACCUUAACCUGCUGGGUAGCCCGUAUUGCUUUGGCGGUACGCUGGCUUCUUAGAGGGACUAUCGGCUCGAGCCGAUGGAGAGUUUGAGGCGGUAACGGGUCUGUGAUGCCCUUAGAUGUUCUGGGCCGCCACGCGCGCUACCAGUGCAUCG
rnacentral:rRNA from 1 species